AGAGUGAGGAAUAGAGGGCAAACUGAACUCAAACUGAAGUGCUCUGUGGAAUGUGGGUAUUUACUAGAGCUGGAAAUAACAGACUGACAGAAGGCUUAAAGGAUGUACCUUAUCAUUCCUCUUUAUCUUGAUACCAGAAUCACAGGAACACCAUACUUGAUAUAUGAGACUUAAUAUAUAAUUCUUGUGUUGGACCACACAAAAACAAAAUGAAACAAAACAAACAAACAAGAACAACAAGAAAGACCUGAGAUUUUAAAGGUGGUAUUAGAGCUUGGAUUUUUUUUUUUUUUUUGGACCUUCUUGCAGUAAAAAUGGUGCCCUUUAUUUUGUUUCCUUCUGCAACUGAAAGACAAUGUUUAUUCAGGUAACUCAAGCUCUGCAAGGCUGGAGCAGCAGCAGGCUAGAACAUGACGGGACCACUGGUAAUUCUGAUGAAGAUACAGCUCCACCCUCCAAUUUGUAACACACAAUUGAAGUUUUUGUUUGUUUGUUUAAAUACAUUUUUAGAAGCUUCACUGAAGAUUAAGUAUUUAGCAAAGGAUAAUCUGAGAAUAGUAACACUGUAAAAUAAAGCAAGAUCUCAAGGUCCAACUGUUAACAACCUGCUGUACAAACAGUAAUUUCUGCACGCUGAGGAAGAAACAAAAAGCUACAGAGCUUGUGCCUGGUAUCAUCAAUCCAGAGACUGUGUCUAUGCUAAUCCACAUGGAGGAUGCCCGGAAGGUCACACAAAAUACCGCUCCUGUCUGUGGAGAGAUGCCAUCAUUCUCAAUGUUCUCAGCACUGCCAAGUGUUUGAUCUGUAAACCUAUAUUUAUGGCAACAGUUCACUCUCAUACUGAAAAUCUGCAAACCGUUUUGCCCAGCAGUUUUCAGUACAUUAAUUUGCAACACAGUUGGCAGAGUAUGUAGUAAACAGAGUGGUCAUCCAGUUUUCUUCAAAGUUUUCUUCACAGAGGAUGAGCAUGUUCUUUACUUUAUCUCUCAGAGCUUGUAUAAAUGAACACUUUAUAAUGUUUUGACAUCUUACUCUAUUCCCGGAAUCAAGAAUGAAAAGAGGGGGAAAAAGAUACAACAACAACAAAACAAUCAAUGCUAAUUGUUUUCUGUUACCAUACGCAGCCUUUUGCAACAGAAGAGUAGAGGGUGGUUGUUUUUUGUUUGUUUGGUUGGUUGGUUUUUUUGUCCAUAAUAGUGGUAAUUCUCCACUUUCUAACCCAAGCUUAUUUCUUGAUCACAGCAAUAAUAGCUCUGCAUGUUAUGGCUAAACAAUAUAUUAAACAAGACCCAAAUGGAUACAACGUACCUCUUUCAAGAAUUCCAUAAAAUCUGUAGAAGGUGUUUAAAGUGAAUUGUUAAGGAGCAUUUUUCAAGGAGUACUUUUCACAAGAACAUACUAAUAAAAUUUAGCAUAGGAUAUGGAAUGGGUAAAUAUGUUAUGCAACAUCCUGUUUGCCUUCUCCACCUUCCUCUGCCUCCAUCUUCCUCUGAAUAACCUGGUGGUCCUAACAAGGCCUUUAAUCAAACAAGAUUUUGAUCUUCUGACAGUUUUAAGAGGACAGUAAGCCUGAAGUUUGAGUAGAAAGCCUACAGAACAGUCAGUUCAAAACUGGUGAAACAAGUCUGAAAGAACUCCAGAAGAUUUAAACCAUUUGGGCAGUAGACCAAGGAGAUGAGGAAUGUGGAAAUGUUCUCAGCUGUGAAACAAAAGCCUCCUGAACAGAAUUCAAAAUGAGGGAAUAAACCAAGAGAUGACAGGGGCCAGACACUGGUUGCUGAGGAAUCCAAGUGGCAUGAAACAAAGCCCAGAAAGCACUGCAAGACUGCUGAGUUGAGAGUCAAGAAACUGAAAACUGUAAACUAUUAUUUCUGGCACAAUUUGUUGGGAGUGCCACAGUGUGUCCAGAGAAAAGAAUGAGAGAAAGAUGGAUCUCUGUAAGGAUAGAAGGAGAACAGGCAGAGGUCAGCAGCUUAGAAAGCGCUGUUAAAUUGUGUGUUGCCAUUAUACAAGGAAUGGCUUGACCGUUUUUCUGCAGGACUUCAGCUGGAGUCAGUUUCAAAUCUACUUCGUUUUAUGCUUUCUUAGUCAUUACCACAGACUGGGGAAACAGCAUCAAACUGCAUGCAGGUUUAUUUCCGGGAAUAUCGAAAC